GCCGCCCCUCGGAAAAUAAUAAACAAUCGAGUAAAAUGCGGCGCGGGGCGGGGGCCCGCGCCCCCUCCCCUGGAGCUGCCCGCACUCCGGGCCCUGCCUGCAGCCCUGCCGCCAGAAAAGCCUUUCCUGAAGGGGCCGUGGCACUCGCACCAAAAUUGCCUUCAGCCGGAAGCUACUGCUGCACUGAGGACCAAGCAAAGCCGUCUCUGGGCAUUCCCCCAUGCCCUUAUCUCAAAGCUAAGUUGUGCCAGGCUGCAGGUGCCCUCCAGAUGUGGGCUUCGAGGCAGUGGAGAUCCGUGUGAGGUGGGAGGGGAAAGGACUGGGUGGCUACGUGUCUGGCAGCCAGGUGUGCCAAAUGCCUAGAGGGAGGGCACCGACAGGGAGACCUGGAAGCCACACCUCUGAAACUAUGUCAGUGUGUUGGUUGUCUCCACGGGACAAAAAACGUCCUCGAGGUGACUGUCCUGUCUGCAUGGUGCUGUGCAUCAUGAGAGAUGCAUCCUCAAUCCUUGCUUCAUUGUGGUGGUGCUUACACAGCACAGCCCUAAAAUAGCUGCCUCUCACAGCCCUGCUUCCCUGUACCUGCAAACAGAAGGCGCGCUUGUACAGCAGGGGAUUUAAUGGGGGAUCAGGUGACGAGAAUGAGGGCUGCAGGAAAGGAUUUACCUUUUCUCAGGCUCGCAGCCUUGCCUCUCCUUUUGAGUGCAGGUGCCCAAUACGGCCUACUUCACUUCCUCCAAAGAAUUAAUUGUUUUCUCCCGUACGUGGCCCCUGGAGGAAGAAGUCUAAGCACCUCCCUCAUGCUGUCAUCCUGUAUUUCCAGUGAUCAGAGUACUUGUUCAGGAGCUGAAGAUGUGGCUCCUGGUCCUUUUCCCAGAACUUUGUGUUUUCUUCUCUGACAGAUGUUUGAUGUAAAGUACAUAGAGCACACUUUCAAAAGGGGACUGAAAUCCAAGGCUGCUCCCCUCCCUUCCCCAUGGCAAUGUUAUUAUUGCUAGGUCAUGGCCUCUCCUCGAUUGCUCCCGUGAAUCCCGAGGCCGCACCCUCUCCCCCAAGCAGCAGUACGGGUUCGGCAGGCUGGUUGGAAAUGGAGUGCAUGUUAGGCUAGCCUGACUCUCUGGUAAGAAACUCUUCGGGAAGGUCGGAGCGAGGCAUCCGAACCCCUGAGGGCCGAAGAAGGAGCAAAUGACGAUGUGGGGGGCACUGCAAGGCACACAGGGGGAAGGAGAUCUCCUCUGGGGAGUUGAGGAAGGGUUCAAAGGGACUGGUGAAGUGUUAAGCAAGAGCAGUCAGCGGCUUAGCACAUGGUGGGGAAGUUGGUAAGCGCUUGCAGCUGGUUCUUCUCUCCUGCCUCGGAGGAACUGGGUAACUGCUGACUCAGGAGCUGCAUCGAGUCGGAGGAAUGGGGUCUUGUUUCCCGAGUGCCUGUACACGCUCCAAAGCCAUGGGAUAGCGCCGGGCACCUCCUACCUGCUGUCCCGUCUCGGAAGAGCGAUUACAGCAGCGUGCUCUAAGAAGCCAGAGCCGAUGGAAUGACAAGCUGCAACCUUUGCUCUUGGGGCCUGGGCAUUUCCCUUUCACUGGUUCAGCAGGGAUCAACAAGAAGAGGCCGAGUCUGACAAGUAAACCAUGCAUGGUUUGAGCCACCUGGCAAUGAACUCUGCAGGCACGGGAGGCAACCUUUCUGCUUUUAUCAUGAACCUGAGGGCAGUAUUACUGUCUGGCUAGUUAUAAUUUAACAGAAACUCCAUUUUUCAUCUCGCUGUGGUGAUAUGCUUUCUUUUAAAUGUCAUCUGUAGAGUCUCCUAGUGAGUGGGGGCUUCAGUUUUGCUUUGUAUUUCUUACAGAUACUGACAAAAACUAGUCCACCAGGUUACUGAAUAAGAGCCAUAUUCCUUCUUAGAGGUCUAAGCACACUAAAAAGAGUUUGCAGUAACUUCAAUACUUAAAUCAAAAUAUAUUUCAAUAUAUAUUUGUCAUUUAUAACCAGUAGAAUAAUUGACUGGUUCUUUUAUUAAUUUUGAAAUCUUACAUUUUCAGCAGCUUUAUUAAGCAAGUAGAUUAAUCUCCAGCUUUCCUGUACCACUGGAGCUUGUUCAUCAUGGCUGUGCCUUCCGUCAUUCUUUGGCAAUUGAUAGUAGUAAUUUCAAAUAAGUUCAGAUCUUUUGUUAAAAAGAAACAGAGUGUGCUUGUGUCUUCUGGAUCAGCCCCUUAAUGUAACCUCUGUUGUUUGCUCAAAUUAUAGUAUAAAAAUAAAAAUCUUCAGAAAAAUGGAGCCAGUUGAAUGAAUACAUAAUCAGUAUUAAAAGCAAUACCAUGAGGACUAAUUGCUAUCUUCAAUUAACUUUCGCCCCGAUCCUAUAUCUUAGCCAUUGGAAAAUCAUAAAUAAAAUCCUUUUCAAAGUCCUUUGAAGCUUUUUCAAGAAUACUGUCAGUUUAGGCAGGUAUUCCUACUUUAACUUGUAUGUAUGUUUGUUAAGACUAUUGUUUGUCUGUAGAUGGCAACAGCAUUACAGUGCUGAAGUAGCCCCCAGCCUGUGGAAUAAGGCUGUGAUGCUGGCAAGCAUUGACUUUGAGAAUGGAGAGAAAAAAAAAAUCUUGCCUUUUUCUUUUCUGUUUGAUUUUUUGUUUUGUUUUGUUUUAAUGUCUGCAGCAGUGGCAAUGGGGACUGUUCUACUUGCAGGAAUGUUGGGACUAAUCAUGUGAGAAAAGAUCCUGGAGUGAUGAGGCAGCAUAUUUCCCAUGUCUGAGGUCAGGAUUUGUUCUGUGAAGCUGACCUUUAAAACAGCCUGAAAAUGAGGAACGUGGCACCAGAGAGCAGAGCAGGAAGCAUGAAAUUAUCUUGUCGAUGCAGGAUUCGGUCAUAUGCAUGGUAAUGUGUAAUGGAAGGAUGUUGGCCCUACCCAGCUGGCCUAGAUCUCACCUCUAAGCCUGUACUCAAAAAAACCCUAUUCUGAGCAGCAUGGGAAGCUCUCCAGGGCCCAGAAUGUGAAAAUUAAUCAAUUCUUGUAGAAAUGUUUCUGCAAUGCUGUGGAAUCCAGCCAAGAGGCAUGAUGAAUGUGAAAACUGUUUUCUAGGACAUCCAGUUUCAUUUAAUUUUGUCAUUCCCAUAGAACUUUUCAGCAAAUGUCUGUAUCCUUCCAUCCUGCAUCCUUUUGUGAUGUGGUUGCCCUGGCAAUCCAGCUGACUUUCCAGAAAAGCCAGCUCCAUCAAAGUUCACUCACUUGCUACAUUAAAGGCCUUCAGUAGGCCAUCUAUUGAUGCCAGUUCUUUCAUGGGCUUGGACUGCUAUGAGAAGAGAUCUGCAGAGUGGGUUAUGCUCUAGCAUGCUUGAUUGGAGCUGAUUUUUUUUAUUUCUUCUUCACUCUACAUGGACCAAUAAUCUUGAAACACUGAGGUAAUUUUUCUGCAUAUCAUCAGACUUCUGUUCCAGCAGACUCUCUAUGGGGGCAAAGUUUUCCAGGAAGGGUAGUUUCUUAUGUACCUCCCUUCAAUGUAUUUGUGCAACAGUCUGAGUUUAAAAAAAUCUCAAUAUAAUUUCUUCCUUCAGGCAAGCCACAGAGGGACCAAUGUUUAACAAGUUCAUCUAUAUUUUCCACUUGAAUGUAGCAUUUUUUUAACACUUGAGGAUUAAGAAAUAGAGCCUAAAAGGUACUUAAGUAUGCAAGAACACCAAGCAUUGAAAUGCCUGACUCCCUGAGUGCCACAUGGAGUGCUUGCACUUUAAGAGGGGAAAGUUUGGUGCCUCAGAAAAACAGAACCUGAAUGCACAAGGAGCUGCUUGCACCGAUCAACAGACGUAUGAGCCUGGAAGGCAAAAUCACAUGGAGAAGACCAAGCAGACAAGAGCUGCUCUCAUGACAAAAACAAACAACAAAAUAAUUUUAAAAAACCUGAACAACAACCCAUGAAGUGUUAAACAGAGGUUUACCCAUCCCCUCUAGUACCUUCUUAUUUCUUUGCUUGUUUUUGGAGAGGAUAAAGUCCAUACAUUUCUACUAGGAUGUUGUCAGUGGAUAGGACUUCCGCAUGCUGAACCCUGUGGGAGGAGGAGGAGAAGUGGAGACACUGAUGAUGAAGGAGUGGCAGAAGAGGACUAGGGAGCUUCUUGAAGCUCUUAACCAUAGUAAGCCCAAGCAAGGGCCAUCUCUUUUUAUGAAGGCAUAGUCAUGGGGGUCAUUUUUGAGGAGCCUGUCAUCAGCCAAAUCCUACAAGUGCUGUGGAUUUCAGAGCAUUGAGGUUUCAGGCUUAUUCAAAAGCCAGACUCCACUAAGUCUGUUGCCAAUACUGUGAUUUUUUGAGAACAAGACCCCAGCAGAACAAGACAACCCCAAUAGAGAGAUUUCUUCACUAAGAUACAGAGAGCAGGUCAUCAGCACAGCUGCCCUUGAAUGGGGGGAAUUGACAGCUGCACCUGAAGUUGUGUGAGAUCACCUGUAUGUGCAAUGAGCAUCCCAGAAUUACUUCAAUCCCGGGAACAGGUGACACUACCAGCUCCCCUUGCCAAGAAGUCCCCACAUGCAGGGGCAGCAAUGACUCCCACCAAGAACUUCUGCAUCCCAGGGUGGAGACAGCCUACCCAGGCAACACGCUGCCAAAUAUAUGCUAAAAAUGAUGCACUGGAGGCUGGAUCCCUGUCACAAGGUAGCCAUGCCGAAGCUUUCCAAAGGCUUUUUGGGGGCCUGCCUGUGGCUUUGCUCAGGAGCACACAUGCCCUGUACCCUGCACCGAAGGAUCCUGCUGGUGCUGUGACUGGGAGGAUUCAGCUUGAGCCAUUGCAAGGCAGCAUCUGGCCAUGAGGAGAAGGCUGGGAUAGGAUCAAGCAACGUGAAAGGGGUCACAGCACCAAGAGAGUUGGAGAAGUUUGGACAGUACUCUCAGGCACAGGGGGUGGCUCUUGGGGAUGGUCCUGUGCAGGGCCAGGAGCUGGACUCAGUGAUGCCUGUGGGUCCUUUCCAAAUUAGAUUAUUCUGUGAUAGAAGGCAGUACCAAUUUCAAGGGAGCCCUUGCUUCCCAAAACCAAGUUAUAAUGGACUAGUUGUAUAUUAAAAACAUAAACUUGUUUAAAAACAUAAAUCGUGGUGGGUCAUCCCUGUCCUGUGGAAGGCUCUGCUGCGCACCUGCCCCAUGCUUCCCUGUCCAGCAGCCACCAGCCACCCUGCAGCCCUCUGCCCCAAAUUUUUGUGUCCAGCCUGCCUGACAUGGGACACAGGGCUGUAUCCCAUGCUGGGUGGGUUUUCUUCCGAGCACUUCAGAGAAUUUUUCGGGUUGGAGGGGACCUCUGGAGAUCAUCCGGUCUGAACCCUCCGCCAAAGCAGGGUCAUCUACAGCAGGCGACACAGGGACGUGUCCAGGUGGAUUUGGAGUCUCUCCAGAGAAGGACACUCCACAGUCUCCAGGGGCAGCCUAUUCCAGUAACAUGACGAAGUUCUAUCUCGUGGUGGAACUUACUGCGUUCUAGUUCACGUCCAUUGCUCCUCCG